AUGUCUGUGAAUGGUGAGCUUGAUUCAGUAGCGCAUGGAGGUUUCAAAAGGAUUGUCAUCCACGUAAAGCCUGACCAGCAUAUUGAGGUUGACACUGCAGGAAUCACUGUACGAGACGGACAGAGAGUGACAUCUCACACUGGACAGGAUCUCUUGACCAUUGGAAGUGUGACAGUAAUCAGAAGGAACAAGGAAAUAGAUGUUGCAGCUGGAGACUCACGAAUGGUCAUCUUAGUCCAAGAGAAAGAUGGCGAAGAAUUCCUCUGGCCGGUUUUAAGACAGCGGCCAUCGGACACCAGCGUGACAGGAAUUUUAGGUGGGUUAAAACGCUGGAUUUGCUUGUAUGAUUUAAUAUCAGGUCAACAACAUAUUGAAUCAAUGUUUGCACCCAGCUGUGUUGGUUAAUGGAGAAGUAAUUCAUUAUUAUAAGACAAAUAUUUUGUACUGUGCCUCUUUUAAGUUGCAUGUUUUCAGUUUCAUUGAUUUGUUGUUUGUCCUCUGUUGUGUCCAGCUCUAAAGCCAGCAGUUUAUGAGGAGGUGCAACAAACUCCCAUAACAAAACUUAAGAUCAACAACCAGGACAUUUCUGUAACCAGGUGCAUUUUGUUCGGUAUUAUCAGGUGUUAUGAAAACCAGAGCAGUUUGAGAAUUAUUUUGACUCUGAUACACAAAGAUAACUGACCUUUAUGUCUUUCUAUUGUAGAUCCACUGCUGUUGACCACAGUAUUGUCUCUUCCCCGACUCUGGACUGCUGGCUCCUGUCUGCUGAGUCUGCCCUGCACAGACCCCUGAACGAUUUUAUCGUGUCUCAGAUUUAACAGGGAAACAUGUCGAACCACUUGCAUUUCAUUUAAAAGACAAAUAAGGCAAAAACUAAUUCAUCUUGGAAAAUAAUUUCCACCUCUUACUAACAUAAACAAAUAAACAGCAUCCCAGAUUUUUUGUUGUCUUGUAUGAACUUAAUGUUUACCUAAAGGAUUUGUCAGAAAAAAUGAGAAACGGUAAAUCAAGACUUUAUAGUGGUGUUCUUCUACAGCACACUGCACUGCAUGACAUCAACUUACCUUUCAAAAUGGGCAAAAUGCUUAAUGCUGUUAAUAAUAUGCAUCAAAUCUACACUUUUUAUUAUUCAUGUAAAAUAAAAAAUCAUGUAAUUAAGGCUAACCUGGUAGAGUUGGUAGCAAUGGGUUCACAUCCAACUUGUGGCCCUUUGCUGCGUGCCAUACACUCUCUCUCCCCCCCUCUCCUGUCACUCUUCAUCUGUCUUAUCCAAUAAAGGCAAGAAAGCCUUCAGAAAUAUAUUUAUUAUCAAAAAAUAAUGUGGUUAAAAACAAACUUUAAUAUCAAAUGAUAUUAUUAUACAUGAUUAUUCCGACACACCGUCUGUGAUGUAUCUACUCAAAGAGAAUUAUAGUGUAUAAUGCUUGUUUAUCAAUCAGAAUCAGAAUCACUUUCAUUGGGCAGGUAUGUGCAUACAUACAAGGAAUUUGACUCCAGUUUUAUGUUGCUCUCACUGUACACACACAGCAUAAUAAACAGGACAACAAGCUCGACAAAAGAGACAUAAAAUACCAUGUACAAACUAAAACAAUAACAUUUGUCGGCAGUAAACAAUAGUGCAAAGGAUGCUGAAAUAAAUAUAUUACGUGCAGAAUUCUUUAUUUACAUGAGGAUGUGGAUAUGACAGUAUAUACAGUAUACGCAGUAAGCACACCAUGGGUAGAUGUAUAUUAAAAGAUAGUAUUUAUGUUAAGAAGAACUGAAUUAUAUUCCCGGGGUUACUGUGCAAGGAUUCUUCCUAACACUGUGUAUCUGGAAUUAACUGUUCGUCAGAGUGAUGGCCUGUGGGUAAAAACUGCCAACUACCAAAUAGGUAAAGAAUGCAUCAAAAUUAACCUGCAACACUGCGUACGUCUGUUUAGCCACAAUGAAAAAACGAAAGUGAAAGCUCUUUGCUGUUUACGUAAUGUGAUAUUUGUACAGAAGUACCAGUGUUUGCGUAUAUGUACAAGGGUGGUCAAAUAUUGCCAUUUGCCUGUGAAGCGAAUCCGUAAUGGAGAGCAAAUAGAGAAAACUCUAACUUAAUAACUCACACAGUUGUUGGAAAAAUAGACUAUUCAAAAUAUUACUGGCAUUACAACAAUAUAACAAACAUAACAAAUAAAAUGUCCUGCAUACAGAACUUUACUUAAAAAAACAUUUGAGGUAAAUUUGAUGCAUUGUAUGUACAGUAGGCAACAGAGCUUUCUCAAAUAGGUGGUGCUUACUGUUCAUUACUGAUAGUUUAAACAAAUAUAAGGUAUCUUAAUCUGGAAUCUAUUAACUACAGCAAUCAGUAAACUAUUGUGGAGUCUGAAAUAUUGCAGAGUUAAUGUAUAAAUCCUUAUAAAAUAGAACAAGUUCAGUAUCAGUUCCCUCACAGUCAGAGCUGCAGUAACUAUUGUAAUAGCAAUUUUUAAGAACCUAUACUACCCUUUGACCUGGUCAUUGCAAAACCAUAUACAACCUGUUAAAGAGGCUAUUAUAUACAUGUAACCUUUAACCCUGUUUCCAACUGCACUCUAUGUCCAAGUAAACAACCGGGAUGUUGGGACUUCACUAAGAAACCAAGAACUUGAUCAUUGCACCACACUAUCUGUCUGUUUACUUGCCCAGAACUCAGGAAUGUGUAACUGUGUUAGAGUGACGCUCCAACAGGGAUAAAAUGAUACUGCUUCUUCAAAUUUUAACUCUUUCGGACUUUCACAUACAGGAGUGUGUGACGGUUGCGUGGAGCCCAUUCAUGGAUGACUUGAAUAAAACGUUACAGCAAGACAAGAUCAUACUUUGUAUGCUUUAUUUAACAAAUUGCCACCACACUAUACUGCCCACUUUUGUUGUAACAAACACAUUACACAUAUUGAUACACAUAAUAGUAAGUGCAUAAUAAGUGGUUGUUGUUUUAACUCAGGGUUGAACAUAUUUCCAGAGACUGUUGGACAGAUAGGUGUUUUGUAUGUAACUCAGCAUUAUGUGGUCAAACCAGUCGAGCUGCUGUGAGCCAUUGUGUUGCAUGGGAUUGUCCUCUCUCAAUGAACUGCAUCAUUAGUACAGGUCAAAGAAUGUGGAUUCUUAUGAACAAGGGUGAUAAACUCGUUUGACAAGGCACAGCUCACCUAAAACUGCCAAGGGAGGGCUCUUUGCCAUGUCCACAUAACAAAAUCGAAAAACGAACAAACCAGCUAUGAAGUGUGAACUGUGUUUGAAGUGUAGAUCUGUGUAUAAAGCUACUUUAAUCCAGUGUUGGAGCUGGAGUUUUGAUUUAAAAACCAGUAACUGUGGACUUUGACUCGUCUAGGUCAUUUUGGUUACACUGCAAUGAGGAAUUCAAAGCAGGAAGUUUCAGGAUUAUGUGCACUUUGACACACGAGGGACUGCGGUGAGACUAAAUCAGUGAGAGAGAGAGAGAGAGGGAGAGAGAGAGAGAGUGGGAGGGACGACUCCUGAGUCAGGACAGUGACGAAGGUUCAAUUUUCACAUGACUCAGAUACUUCUUGGUAAAUGACUAAACAUAGAGCUGAAAAGUCUGUGGAGAGAAAAAACACACUUCAGAGUGGAUUACCUACAAUGGAUAACUAAACAUGGUAAGUGACCUAAAUUAUAUUCCUAUGGGACUGUUCAUGUAAUUUGAUAUAAUUUCUAAAGUCACAGUUACAGUAUACUUUUAUCUUAUACUGUAAUACUGUUUGCUUGUUUUAUGCUUGAAGGACUAUCCAGUUGCCAGUUAUUACGCCACAAGCAACACUAGAAAACUGUUUAUAUGAAAAAGAAUACUGUGGUUUAAGUCAGUUGAAACCUAUGAAGAAACAGCUGCCAGAAAACUCCUAUACCUGCAUUAAUUUAUGUCUCUUCUUUCCCAGACCAUACCCAAAGCUGAAACCUCUCAACUACAGCUAUGCUCUAAC
rnacentral:lncRNA from 15 species